UCCUCAAUAAUGUAAUGGAAGCAUAUUAGGCUCAUAAUCUGAUAGUGGGGGUUCGAUUCCACCUUGGGGGU